rnacentral:rRNA from 1 species
UACGAAGGGGGCUAGCGUUGCUCGGAAUCACUGGGCGUAAAGCGCACGUAGGCGGAUUGCUAAGUCAGGGGUGAAAUCCUGGAGCUCAACUCCAGAACUGCCUUUGAUACUGGCGAUCUUGAGUCCGGGAGAGGUGAGUGGAACUGCGAGUGUAGAGGUGAAAUUCGUAGAUAUUCGCAAGAACACCAGUGGCGAAGGCGGCUCACUGGCCCGGUACUGACGCUGAGGAGCGAAAGUGUGGGGAGCGAACAGG